rnacentral:lncRNA from 10 species
CCGCUUUUUGUAUUUUUUGUAGGAAUGGGGUUUUGCCAUGCUCUCCAAACUGGUCUCAAAUUCCUGGGCUCAGGUGAUCCGCCCGCCUCCACCUCCGAAAGUGCUGAGAUUGCAGGCUUGAGCGACUGCACCUGGGAACUGUGUUCUUAAUUGCAGGCAAUAGAAGCCAGCUUCUGCUGAUUUAAGCAGCACUAUCAAGUGCUCACAGGUGAGCUACAGAAUUCUGCUUGGCGCCACGGAGGCAGAAACAAGCCCUUGAAGGCAUCGGAGUCCUAGUCUGAUGAAUAGAGGCUGUCGCUCGCUCAACUGCCCCUACCACGCCAGGAACUUCUGCUUCUACUGCCACUAAGGGGCCAUCAGCUUCUUUGUGUCUCUGGUUCCAAAUCCAAAGGCCAGCUGGAGUGUAUCUGGUGGGCAGAGAUUAUGACAAGCCCUUGCCUCAGCUGCAGGAGAGGAUGGGAAAGCGAGUAACUGGCAUCUUAGCAUCUGCAGUAGCAGAUAUUGGCCCAGUGACCAUCACAGCGGACCCUGCGGUGUUUCAGAGGGAGCUGAGAGAACUCUAUGUGCAGGGAGGUGGUGACUGCCCGGAGAUGAGUGUGGGGGCCAUUAAGGCUGCCGUGGAGGUUGCCAACCCCGGCUCCUUCAUCUACGUCUUCUCGGAUGCCCGCGCCAAAGACUAUCACAAGAAGGAAGAGCUGCUGCGUCUCCUGCAGCUCAAACAAUCACAGGUGGUCUUUGUGCUGACGGGGGACUGUGGCGACCGCACCCAUCCUGGCUACCUGGCCUAUGAGGAGAUCGCUGCCACCAGCUCUGGGCAGGUGUUCCACCUGGACAAGCAGCAAGUGACAGAGGUGCUGAAGUGGGUGGAGUCGGCGAUCCAGGCCUCCAAGGUGCACCUGCUGUCCACAGACCACGAGGAGGAGGGGGAGCACACAUGGAAACUCCCCUUUGACCCCAGCCUGAAGGAGGUCACCAUCUCAUUGAGUGGGCCAGGGCCUGAGAUUGAAGUCCAAGAUCCACUGGGGAGGAUCCUGCAGGAGGACGAGGGCCUCAAAGUGCUUCUCAACAUCCCUGACUCGGCCAAGGUCGUAGCCUUUAAGCCUGAGCAUCCCGGGCUGUGGUCCAUCAAGGUCUAUAGCAGUGGCCGCCAUUCCGUGAGGAUCACAGGCGUCAGCAACAUUGACUUCCGAGCCGGCUUCUCCACUCAGCCCUCGCUGGACCUCAACCGCACCCUCGAGUGGCCCUUGCAAGGGGUCCCCAUCUCCCUGGUGAUCAAUUCCACGGGCCUGCAGGCACCGGGCCUCCUAGACUCGGUGGAGCUGGCACAGAGCUCAGGGAAGCCCCUCCUGACCCUGCCCAUGAAGACCCUCUCCAAUGGCUCCACCCACCAGCUGUGGGGCGGGCCGCCCUUCCACACCCCCAAGGAGCGCUUCUACCUCAAGGUGAAGGGCAAGGACCAUGAGGGAAACCCCCUCCUUCGUGUCUCUGGAGUGUCCUACAGUGGGAUGGCCCCAGGUGCUCCCCUUGUCAGCAUGGCCCCCAGGAUCCAUGGCUACCUGCACCAGCCCCUGCUGGUCUCCUGCUCGGUGCACAGCGCCCUUCCCUUCCGGCUGCAGCUGCGGCGAGGUGAAGCCAGGCUGGGCGAAGAGAGGCACUUUCAGUGA